GCAGAAUGUCAACUUGUAUAACCCAGCUGGAGGUUUGCAGACAAAUAUCAGAGAGGCAUGGUCCAAGGAACAGGAAGUGGAGAAAGGCAUUAAAAAUUUGACCUACAUUGAAAGACUGAAGGAGCGUGUCAAGAAAGUGAAAAUACCAGAGCUCAGGAGAGCCCCACACAGCUCUCCAGAUCUUGUGCUUGAGAGGAAGAGAAUGAUG